UACGUAGGAGGCGAGCGUUAUCCGGAUUUACUGGGCGUAAAGAGCGCGUAGGCGGUCUCGUAAGUUGGGCGUGAAAGCCCCCGGCUUAACUGGGGAGGGUCGUUCAAUACUGCGGGACUGGAGGGUGGAAGAGGAGACUGGAAUUCCCGGUGUAGUGGUGAAAUGCGUAGAUAUCGGGAGGAACACCAGUGGCGAAGGCGAGUCUCUAGGCCACUCCUGACGCUGAGGCGCGAAAGCGUGGGGAGCGAACGGA
rnacentral:rRNA from 1 species